UCGGACAUGGUGUACGGUACACACCCUCCCUAGGCACGCGAAAUAAAAUGCAGGAGGGAAUCUGGGGUUCAACUCCCCGUGUCCGAA